GACGAACGCUGGCGGCGUGCUUAACACAUGCAAGUCGAACGGAAAGGCCCUGCUUUUGUGGGGUGCUCGAGUGGCGAACGGGUGAGUAACACGUGAGUAACCUGCCCUUGACUUUGGGAUAACUUCAGGAAACUGGGGCUAAUACCGGAUAGGAGCUCCUUCUUCAUGGUGGGGGUUGGAACGUUUCGGCGGUUGGGGAUGUACUCGCGGCUUAUCAGCUUGUUGUUGGGGUAGUGGCUUACCAAGGCUUUGACGGGUAGCCGGCCUGAGAGGGUGACCGGCCACAUUGGGACUGAGAUACGGCCCAGACUACUAAGGGAGGCAGCAGUGGGGAAUAUUGCACAAUGGGCGGAAGCCUGAUGCAGCAACGCCGCGUGAGGGAUGACGGACUUCGGGUUGUAAACCGCUUUCGCCUGUGACGAAGCGUGAGUGAAGGUAAUGGGUAAAGAAGCACCGGCUAACUACGUG
rnacentral:rRNA from 1 species